UUCUGAAAAUUUAACAAUUGACUUUCACCAGUAGGUCCAGGUGGGCUUCAGCAUUCUAGGAGAAUCACCUGCCCUCAUGGGAAUAUGUAAAUAAACUGAGGACCCUUGACCUCUUUAUUUUUAUUCUUAAGGUUGCUGGCUCGCCAUUGAAACUAUUCUUCCCUGAAAGUAAUGUGACAAACAAUGAGGAGAAAUAAAAAUGAUGGUUCUCAAUACAGUUCUUCACAUAUGCCAGUCCUGGGCCAGCAGUAUGACACACUGGAAGGAGAUAUGAGCUUUGAGUCAUGACUCUGAUCACCGCUCACCAACUGAACAGACAGAUCACUGUUCCCGCGCUGAAGCUCUGAGCUUCACCAGUCUGCAACAGACGGAACCAGGCCUCUGCAGCUCACAGCAUUUAUUUAUUCUCCACCAAAAGUUUCAAACUGUGAACGUGCAGAAGAGGGCAUAAGAAGGGUUACGCAUCUGAAUUCUUCAUUCUGCCUCCUUCCCUCCCUCCGUUUCUCUCUGAGGAAUUGUAGGUGAUCAUCUCCCAAUAACAAGAGGUUAUGAAGAAGAUCUUGUUUGCAGAGGAGGAGAGAAUGGCCAAGGAAUACCUUACUUCAGAUGAGAUUAGAGAAGUGUGUAUAAUAUGGGAAACAGUGAAAAAUUUUGUAGAAAAACACCACCCAAAUAAGGCUGGAGUAGUGCCAGUGAUGAAUCUGUGUAAUGGCAAUGCAGUGUCACAUUUCUGUGAAAUACUCAAAUGAGCAGUUAUUGCUUCUACUUAGAUAUCACCCCCAAAGCCUCAUGCAGUCACAGGUACGGCUUUUCAGAGGUGUCUGGAUCAAGGAUGUGUGAUGCUGGGAUUAAGGGUUCCCCACCGUGGGAGUCAGUGGUACUCAUGCUAAAGGCUUGAAGCCUGGAGAGAAUAUAAGGGACAGAAAGAGGGCUGCUGCUAUAGUUUCCUGCUUGUUAUUUCCCUACUAGCUGCCUUCAAACUGCCCUACUUUGCCAUGGGUUUUUUCUCCUCUGCCAUGCCACCCUGCCUUGGAGCCUGUUGACUAUGAUAGGCUCCUUGUUAAAGUUGCACACCCUGAAAAGUUUCCGUUGAGCCAAUAGAUACCAGUGAUUGUGUUGGUGAUAGUGAAAGUUGCCCUCCUCCUCUUUUGACUCCCUCACACCAGCUAGGAAAGUUUUCAAAGUGCAGGUUAAUUUGGUUAUUUUUCUUUCUACUGUGUAUUUUUUAUUAUUAUGGACUAUAUUACAGUAUUCUAAUGAUUUUUAUGUGAAUUUUUUGAGGUUGUGUAAUGAAUCAUCAGCGUUUCCUUUAUGUUUAGAGGAAAUUUGCUUUGACAUACAAGUACUUGGAUUACAAGUGUGUUCCCAGAACGAAUUAUGCUGGCAAACCAAGGUUUUACUGUAAAUCUCAAAUUCAAAAUAAAUCUAUUCCUAAACUUUUUUAAAAAACUAAAUGAAAAAAAUGUGCCAUACUUUUUGUUCUAAUUGACAAACACAUAAAGAAUGCUAAUGCUAUGUGCAUCCC